rnacentral:misc_RNA from 1 species
UUUCCGUAGGUGAACCUGCGGAAGGAUCAUUCAUAAUAAAGUGUUUUAUGGCACUUUUUAAAAAUCCAUAUCCACCUUGUGUGCAAUGUUAGAUCUCGUCAAUCUUGGCGAGAUUUUUAUACAUCAACUCAUUCUUUAACUAAUUUGUCUGAAAAAUAUUAUGAAUACUUAAUUCAAAAUACAACUUUCAACAACGGAUCUCUUGGCUCUCGUAUCGAUGAAGAACGCAGC